AUUGAACGCUGGCGGCAGGCUUAACACAUGCAAGUCGAGCGGGGUGAUGGUGCUUGCACUAUCACUUAGCGGCGGACGGGUGAGUAAUGCUUAGGAAUCUGCCUAUUAGUGGGGGACAACAUCUCGAAAGGGAUGCUAAUACCGCAUACGUCCUACGGGAGAAAGCAGGGGAUCACUUGUGACCUUGCGCUAAUAGAUGAGCCUAAGUCGGAUUAGCUAGUUGGUAGGGUAAAGGCCUACCAAGGCGACGAUCUGUAGCGGGUCUGAGAGGAUGGUCGGCCACACUGGGACUGAGACACGGCCCAGACUCCUACGGGAGGCAGCAGUGGGGAAUAUUGGACAAUGGGGGGAACCCUGAUCCAGCCAUGCCGCGUGUGUGAAGAAGGCCUUAUGGUUGUAAGGCACUUUAAGCGAGGAGGAGGCUCUUUUGGUUAAUACCCAAGAUGAGUGGACGUUACUCGCAGAAUAAGCACCGGCUAACUCUGUGCCAGCCGCCGCGGUAA
rnacentral:rRNA from 1 species